AACAAGGGGUAGGCUUGCGAACACCCCGUGAGGCGGCAGCCCAAGUUCGCAUGUAUCCAAAGCAACAAGGAAACAUGCUAUG
rfam:Ruegeria sp. ANG-R contig_1, whole genome shotgun sequence.